rnacentral:tRNA from 1 species
GCGGGAGUAGCUCAGUUGGUAGAGCACAACCUUGCCAAGGUUGGGGCCGCGGGUUCAAGUCCCGUCUCCCGCUCCA